AGAGUUUGAUCUCGGCUCAGGAUUAACGCUGGCGGUGUGCUUUAUGCAUGCAAGUCGUACGGUUCUUCUCGCAAGGGAAGGACAGUGGCAAACGGGUGAGUAAUGCGUGAGUAACCUGCCCUUAAGUAGGGGAUAACUCUGAGAAAUCAGAGCUAAUACCUUAUGUGGUGAUGAGGGUAAAGCUUCAUCACUAAAGUCUUCGGGCGCUUAAGGAUGGGCUUGCGUUCGAUUAGCUAGUUGGUAAGGUAACGGCCUACCAAGGCGAUGAUCGAUAGCUGGUCUAAGAGGAUGAUCAGCCACACUGGGAUUGAGACACGGCCCAGACUCCCACGGGAGGCAGCAGCAAGGAAUUUUGUGCAAUGGGCGAAAGCCUGACACAGCGACACCGCGUGGGGGAAGACAGCCUUCGGGUCGUAAACCCCUUUUCUCGGGGAAGAAUAAUGACGGUACUCGAGGAAUAAGCCACGGCUAACUAUGUGCCAGCAGCCGCGGUAACACAUAGGUGGCAAGCGUUAUCCGGAUUUAUUGGGCGUAAAGAGGGCGUGGGCGGCUUUGUAAGUCGGAUGUGAAAUCUCCCGGCUCAACUGGGAGGGGUCAUUCGAUACUGCUGAGCUAGAGGGCAGCACAGGGAGGUGGAAUUCCCGGUGUAGUGGUGAAAUGCGUAGAUAUCGGGAGGAACACCAGCGGCGAAGGCGGCCUCCCAGGCUGUUGCUGACGCUAAAGCCCGAAAGCGCGGGGAGCAAACAGGAUUAGAUACCCUGGUAGUCCACGCUGUAAACGAUGGACACUAGAUAUAGGGGGUAUCGACCCUCUCUGUGUCGAAGCUAAUGCGCUAAGUGUCCCGCCUGGGGAGUACGGUCGCAAGGCUAAAACUCAAAGGAAUUGACGGGGGCCCGCACAAGCAGCGGAGCGUGUGGUUUAAUUCGAUGCAACACGAAGAACCUUACCAAGGCUUAACAUGACGGAAGUAGUGACCCGAAAGGUGAACGACCUGUUGAGUCAGGAGCCGCCAUAGGUGCUGCAUGGCUGUCGUCAGCUCGUGCCGUGAGGUGUUCGGUUAAGUCCUGCAACGAGCGCAACCCUCGUUGCCAGUUGUCUUCUCUGGCAAGACUGCCCCGCAAAACGGGGAGGAAGGUGGGGAUGACGUCAAGUCAGCACGGCCUUUAUGCCUUGGGCCACACACACGCUACAAUGGAUGGUACAAUGGGCAGCCACAGAGCGAUCUGGAGCCAAUCCCCAAAGCCAUCCUCAGUUCGGAUUGCAGGCUGAAACUCGCCUGUAUGAAGUUGGAGUUGCUAGUAACCGCAUAUCAGCAUGUUGCGGUGAAUACGUUCUCGGGCCUUGUACACACCGCCCGUCACGUCAUGAAAGUCGGCAAUGCCUGAAGUCGAUGGGCUAACUCUUAUUUAUAAGAGGGGUAGUCGCCGAGGGCAGGGCUGAUAAUUGGGACGAAGUCGUAACAGGGUA
rnacentral:rRNA from 1 species